rnacentral:lncRNA from 1 species
CGGGGAGGACGAUGCACUGCGAUGGGCACGGAAAGCUGUUGCAGCAAUGAACGAGGAGGCGGAGAUGCACAAAGGAGAGGAGGAAAAGCGCGCUCUGGUACUAAUCCAAGCCCGCCGGCGACUCCCCCAUAUGGUACGAGUUUGUUACCCCCUUCCGUGGGGAAAGAAUAUUUGGAUGAUACAAGGGCUUAUAUUUUUCUGUUUGUACAUGCUCUUAUUGGGAUGAUACGUGAUGAUGAAUAUUGGGUGUAACAAACUGAAUCCUAGAAUUAUUGGAUGCAUAUAUUCCUUCAUACUUUAGUGGUGAAUAGAUAGAAUUCACAAAUGUUUUCAUGGAUAGUUGGAUUCGAUUUUUCAUAUUCCUCCGUACACAGGCUGGGCGGUUUGAGUACAUGGAAACAUAAUUAUAUCCUACAAACCCUUAUUUGGGUUGCUUUCAUCUUUAUGUUGUUGAGUAAAGAAUCAAGAAAUCAUAUAAGGUACCUUGUAUCAUCUAUGUUUCCCCAUAGUGUAUUUUGUUUGUUUGCUUUGGCUAUUGUUGCUGCCAUCUCAAGAGCGACUGAAAAUUGCCAACAUCAGCAUCUUAGUCAAAACAGUUUAGUUAUUAUACUAUACAUAUGAAGCUUAGUGUUUCAUAUGUAGGAUCAAGAUACUCCAAUUUCUGCAUGAGUUCUCCUUGGUACCAAUUUCCAUAUGUGCAGGGUCGGAGCUUUUGGUCUGUUUGCAACUAGAAUUUGAGACACUGGUACAGAGUACGUGUUGGGAAUAUAUACUAAAGGUAUGGAACAUGUUUCUAUUAUUUCCUGAUGGAAUUUGAAAAUUGUUCUUAAAAAGAAACAUUAUAUUGGCGGUUCCUUAUUUUUUUCUGUACAAUUUAUUAAACUUUAGCAAUUCACGAAGCUUGCAUACAUAUAGAAACCCAAUGUGGAUAUUUGUUGCUGGUGAUGAUGAGAAAUCAUGUAUUUGCAUUCAGUGAGAAGAGCCUAUAGCAAGUAGCUCCAUGCAUCCUAUUCGUGUUGUAGCUGGUAUAAAUUGAAUGUAGGAUGUAGGAUCAAUUGUAGAAAGUCUAAAUAUUUGUUCAGUCCACAUAACUGGAUUAAUUAGUUGCCAAUAUAUCGCUCAAUUUUAAGCUGAAGAUUUCCCCCCAAAUUUUGUAGCAUAAUAUUUUCUACUAAACAGGAAGAGUUCAAAGCAGGUAGUGGAAUAAAGGUGAUGAACAUAGCUAGCCUAACUUUUUUUUAUUUGUUUGCUCUAGCCAAAAAGUUGGCUCAGCUUCUCUAAUGUUAUUUUGCCUGAGUCAAUAUCAGUACAUGAUAUUUGUUUGUUCCAGCCAAAAAGUUGGUUAAACAUUCGAUGUGUUUGUUGGGCAUCUCUGCCUAAAAUAGAAGUUCAAUUCUAAGUUCAAAGUUAUCAGCAUGUAGUAUUGUAAGCUGAUGGUUACCAGGAGAACAUAACAUUGAUAUUUUCUGACAUUGAUCGUAGCUUUGUGUAGUCCGAAUUUUAGUUCAGACUUCAAAGUGCACAGAAAUAAAAAUAGUUGUACUAGCUGCUUUUAAUGGAUGCAGAUGCCGAGUCCCGGGCUUCCCCGAACUUGGCUCUCCAGGCUGCAAUCGAUGGAGGCCGGUCUUGCUUAUCUCCCCUCAUGGCCGAUCAAGGAGGCGAACAGUGUCAAUCUGUCAUCGACACCUCAGGGUAUGGCCGCCACAUCUGGUAAAAAAUUUCACAACAGUACUAUGAUUGAUUGAAUGACAAGAAUGCUUCUAUUUCGUCAGUUUAAUUUAGUCCUUGGGCUAUUCUUGGAGAACACACACUCCAUGGUCCAGACUUGUGACUGUACUUAAGUAGAAGAUGGAAUUAUUCUAUGAUCUCUUCAUGGUUGAUCAUCGGGUUGCAAGUGAAAUUUGUGUAUGGACUGUGGAGCGUCAGUAUCAUAGUCAUGAGUCGUCAGGCUUCAGUCAUGUGUACUUGGUUAGACAUAUAUGAAGCGUAAGGGACUAGCUCAUUCACACUUGCGAUUCAGUAAUGUUCUUACAAUCAUUUAUUUAUGAUCUGCAGGUCUAAAAAACAAGCACCGGGUCCUUCUCCUCCAUGAAUCAGAUGUCAACGAGGCAACACGAAUCUGCAUGAGGCUGAACAUGAAAGAAACAAAAUGGAGACAACUCGACGAGUUUAGGAACAACAUGUAAUCGACGAUGAGCACUUUUCCAGUCAGGGAAAGGAUUUUUUAUGCCGCGCUAGGACUUUUCGUGGGAGGCCAUCUGAAACACGGUAUAAUGCAAAGGCAUUAGAAUUUCUAGCAGAAAUUGGACAGCAUAACGGAUGUAAAUGCUCAAAAAAGAUUUUGAGACACUUUGCAAAGGAUUGCAUAGACACUCAACAACAUCAUAUCAAGAUUCUGGGUCCAUCUUAUCAACGUAACGGGGUAGUAGAAUUGAACUAGGCUUGUAU